rnacentral:rRNA from 1 species
AUAAGCGCUUGAUUUUUUGGACGAGCGCUUAAAUUCCGGGAACUUGUCCGGUUCAGUGGGGAAUAUCCCGGGGAAACCCGGAUUAAUACCCCAUGGUACCGCAAGGUUAAAGGUGGCCAGCAAUGGCUGCCGCUGGAGGAUUGGUUCGCGCCCUAUCAGCUUGUUGGUGAGGUAACGGCUCACCAAGGCUACGACGGGUACCUGGUCUGAGAGGACGAUCAGGCACACUGGAACUGAGACACGGUCCAGACACCUACGGGUGGCAGCAGUCGAGAAUAAUUCACAAUGGACGAAAGUCUGAUGGUGCAACGCCGCGUGGAGGAUGACGGUCUUCGGAUUGUAAACUCCUGUCAUCUGGGAGAAAGACCUGGGAGUUAAUAGCUCACAGGAGUGAUAGUACCAGAAGAGGAAGGGACGGCUAACUUCGUGCCAGCAGCCGCGGUAAUACGAAGGUCCCAAGCGUUGUUCGGAAAUCACUGGCGUAAAGGGAGCGUAGGCGGCGCGGUAAGUCGGAUGUGAAAUCCCGAGGCUCAACCUCGGAACUGCAUCUGAUACUGCCGUGCUAGAGUAAUGGAGGGGUAGCUGGAAUUCUCGGUGUAGCAGUGAAAUGCGUAGAUAUCGAGAGGAACACUCGUGGCGAAAGCGAGCUACUGGACAUUUACUGACGCUGAGCUUCGAAGCUAGGGGAGCCGAAAGGAUUAAAUACCCUGUAGUCUAG